rnacentral:precursor_RNA from 1 species
GUGCGGACCAGGGGAAUCACUUAGGAGGCACAGUGUACGCUCUUCAGGUGACAGGUUCCAUGAACGCCC